GGUUCUACUGAAGGUUCUACUGAAGGGUCUACUGAAGGUUCCAACUGAAGGUUCUACUGAACAAACCGCUGAAGUUCAAUUCAUCUAUCACCAACUUUCUGCUGGUUUUCUGUUAAGAACCCACAUGGUUCUAGUUCUAGGGUUCCCUGUUGACAGUCCGUUUCAUUUUAAAGUCGUGGUUUCAAGGCUGAAUCUUUUUUCCUCUGAAACUCUCCCAGCUGAGGAUCUGAGCAGAAAACAGAUCUGGAAUCAGAUUCUGUCCAAACUAACCCGUCUGUUCAGGUUUAGAUCCUUAAAUACGUUCUACAGAACGGUUCUAAAGUUCUUCUACCAUGUUCAGGCAUUCUGUCCAAAGAAAAGCCUCUGAAACAUGAGAAACUUUCAGCCUUUUCUGGAGUAGAAACCAUUUUUCUCUGUGAACCAACAUUUAGAGCCUGACUCCAUCACAACAGCUCUGCAUUCUGUUUAAAGAGAUCCUCAAGUUAAAUUCUGUUGGUUCUUAUUGUUCUGUCAGACCUGGCUUAGUUGUGGUUUCUAGAACGUGUGGUGUAAGUGGGUCAGACAGGUUCUGUAUCUCAAAGAGCAUCAGCAGAAUGAAUGGAGCUGUUUGCUUCUUAUCUGAAGGCUGAAUGUCUGCAUGUCUGACAAACACUCGACACAAUAGUUGCUGCAUGUUCCUCCAUACAGAACCCAAGGAGAACACAGGUAGACUCAGCUCCUAGUUCUAUUCAGGACGGAAGUCUGUGAUGGAACCACAUCACCAUCUGUCCACUGGUGGCACUGCAGUUAGAAAAAACAAACCUUAUUUUCCAUGAAAUAAAGCUUCAGGUUUCAGUGCUUUUAUGCUAGAGUAACUGAGUUUAUCUGCAGUUAUUGUUCUCACUGGGUUGGAGACUCAUUGUCCCCUCAGAUGUUUCCUGAUCUUCAGAAAGACCAGAAAGAGUAGAAAGACUAGAAACAUUAGAAAGAUUAGAAAGACUCAGAUGUUUCCUGAUCUGACGUCCAAUGAAAUGCUUUAAGCAUUCUGUCCCUCUGCAGGUUGAUUCCAGAAACACUAGAAAGACUAGAUCAUUCUACAGAGAUGUGAGGAGGUUAGAUCGUUCUACAGAGAUGUGAGGAGGUUAGAUCGUUCUACAGAACUGUGAGGAGGUUAGAUCGUUCUACAGAGAUGUGAGGAGGUUAGAUCGUUCUACAGAACUGUGAGGAGGUUAGAUCGUUCUACAGAGAUGUGAGGAGGUUAGAUCGUUCUACAGAACUGUGAGGAGGUUAGAUCGUUCUACAGAACUGUGAGGAGGUUAGAUCGUUCUACAGAACUGUGAGGAGGUUAGAUCGUUCUACAGAGAUGUGAGGAGGUUAGAUCGUUCUACAGAACUGUGAGGAGGUUAGAUCGUUCUACAGAACUGUGAGGAGGUUAGAUCGUUCUACAGAACUGUGAGGAGGUUAGAUCGUUCUACAGAGAUGUGAGGAGGUUAGAUCGUUCUACAGAGAUGUGAGGAGGUUAGAUCGUUCUACAGAGAUGUGAGGAGGUUAGAUCGUUCUACAGAACUGUGAGGAGGUUAGAUCGUUCUACAGAACUGUGAGGAGGUUAGAUCGUUCUACAGAACUGUGAGGAGGUUAGAUCGUUCUACAGAGAUGUGAGGAGGUUAGAUCGUUCUAUAGAACUGUGAGGAGGUUAGAUCGUUCUACAGAGAUGUGAGGAGGUUAGAUCGUUCUACAGAACUGUGAGGAGGUUAGAUCGUUCUACAGAGAUGUGAGGAGGUUAGAUCGUUCUACAGAGAUGUGAGGAGGUUAGAUCGUUCUAUAGAACUGUGAGGAGGUUAGAUCGUUCUACAGAGAUGUGAGGAGGUUAGAUCGUUCUACAGAACUGUGAGGAGGUUAGAUCGUUCUACAGAACUGUGAGGAGGUUAGAUCGUUCUACAGAACUGUGAGGAGGUUAGAUCGUUCUACAGAGAUGUGAGGAGGUUAGAUCGUUCUACAGAACUGUGAGGAGGUUAGAUCGUUCUACAGAGAUGUGAGGAGGUUAGAUCGUUCUACAGAACUGUGAGGAGGUUAGAUCGUUCUACAGAACUGUGAGGAGGUUAGAUCGUUCUACAGAGAUGUGAGGAGGUUAGAUCGUUCUAUAGAACUGUGAGGAGGUUAGAUCGUUCUACAGAGAUGUGAGGAGGUUAGAUCGUUCUACAGAACUGUGAGGAGGUUAGAUCGUUCUACAGAGAUGUGAGGAGGUUAGAUCGUUCUACAGAGAUGUGAGGAGGUUAGAUCGUUCUACAGAGAUGUGAGGAGGUUAGAUCGUUCUACAGAACUGUGAGGAGGUUAGAUCGUUCUACAGAACUGUGAGGAGGUUAGAUCGUUCUACAGAGAUGUGAGGAGGUUAGAUCGUUCUACAGAACUGUGAGGAGGUUAGAUCGUUCUACAGAACUGUGAGGAGGUUAGAUCGUUCUACAGAACUGUGAGGAGGUUAGAUCGUUCUACAGAACUGUGAGGAGGUUAGAUCGUUCUACAGAACUGUGAGGAGGUUAGAUCGUUCUACAGAACUGUGAGGAGGUUAGAUCGUUCUACAGAGAUGUGAGGAGGUUAGAUCGUUCUACAGAACUGUGAGGAGGUUAGAUCGUUCUACAGAGAUGUGAGGAGGUUAGAUCGUUCUACAGAACUGUGAGGAGGUUAGAUCGUUCUACAGAACUGUGAGGAGGUUAGAUCGUUCUACAGAACUGUGAGGAGGUUAGAUCGUUCUACAGAGAUGUGAGGAGGUUAGAUCGUUCUACAGAACUGUGAGGAGGUUAGAUCGUUCUACAGAACUGUGAGGAGGUUAGAUCGUUCUACAGAGAUGUGAGGAGGUUAGAUCGUUCUACAGAGAUGUGAGGAGGUUAGAUCGUUCUACAGAACUGUGAGGAGGUUAGAUCGUUCUACAGAGAUGUGAGGAGGUUAGAUCGUUCUACAGAGAUGUGAGGAGGUUAGAUCGUUCUACAGAGAUGUGAGGAGGUUAGAUCGUUCUAUAGAACUGUGAGGAGGUUAGAUCGUUCUACAGAGAUGUGAGGAGGUUAGAUCGUUCUACAGAACUGUGAGGAGGUUAGAUCGUUCUACAGAACUGUGAGGAGGUUAGAUCGUUCUACAUAACUGUGAGGAGGUUAGAUCAUUCUAAAGAGAUGUCAGUCGAUGGGUUCCAGUCCACUGCAGCUUUCUGAUCACUAACUUUCAGAGGGAGAAACUUUUGAAGCAGAACUUCAGGGUUCACUUCAGAGUUCUCAGGUGUACCUAAUGAAGUGGCCUGGGAUGCAGAGAACAGUGAAAGCAGCACAGAUCUGAGAAUGUGGGACUAAAACUAGCAAGUUCCAUGCAGUCUAUGGUUCCACCAGCAGCAGAAUGUUUGUUCUGCUCAGACCUGGAAAGUGUGA